UCCUAGAAAGAGCCGCCCUCACGGCCUCUUCAGAAGGCAGCCGGUGCGUGCCAGAGCCAUCUCCGCUGCCCGGAGCCCUUGGUGCUCAGAGCAGGGAUGCUGCGCCCGCAGGGGGAUGCUUCCCGUGCUGCUGGGGGUGAAACAGGGGGGGCUGCGGGGCUGGAGGGGGCCGCAGCCACUCCUGCAGGAGGGACGUGGGAGGCAACUGGUGUGCCAGCGGGCGCGGAGGAAUGCGGCAGCAUGGGGGUGGGGGGGGGGGAGGACAGAAAUUAAUAAUUAUCUAAAGCGCACCCCUAUCACUGUUCAUCAAAAUUUGCCCAUACUUCAUUCCAGCCUCCUUUCUUCUUCUUGCCUCCAACCAGACCUGGACCAGUGGAGUGCUUGGUGUCAGCAUCCAAGUGUGUGCUUUCAUGCACAGCGUAUGCAAAUGCCAGAUGGUGCACGGGAGCCCCACGCUGCUCCCCAGUGUCCCAGACCAGGGCAUUGGCAACCCAGAGGAGGGGAGAGCAGCGUUGGGACCGGGGGGGUCAUCACCGAGGAUGUGGCACUUCCAGUCCCAGGGUGCGGUGUGCUGCUCGCCGCUGGUAGCUCCACACGGCAGAUGUGACCGGCUGGUUUUGUACCAGAUCCCUGGGGUUUCUGAUGCCCUUCCUGUCCCGGACCUGCAGCUGGGCUGCUCCUGGCACACGGCACAGGUGGGGGCUUGGAAACGUGGAUUUGGGAUCUGUGGGGCUGGGCUGCUCCAGGCUCUGCGGCCGGGCCAUGAGCCCCCGGUGCUCGGCACGUUUGUCCCCGCAGAUCACCCUCACCAGCUCCCGACACGCACUUCUGGGGAACCUUUUAUUUAAAGUAUUAGGCAGGUUAUAAAAACGUCACCGAUGAUUUGCUCGUGUUUUCUAAACUGUCGUUAAAAAUUUACAGUCAGGACAAAAUGCAAAGGAUGCGGAGGGGGGAGGGAGAAAUCCUCGUGCUUUAAGCUGAGUCUCUCCAUAAAUUAAAGAGAUUUGCUUUUGAGGGUGGUCCGCAGAGCUGCGUGCCAAAAUUGUGUGUGUUCAAAGAGAGAGGAUCAUGAGGUUAAGUGUUGGAAAAGGGGAGGAGAAAAGUAACUUAUUUCAGAGAGCGGCAGGCGAAGCAGGGAGAGGUCCUCGCACCGGCCCGGGCACCCACGGGGGCCCUGGGGCAGGGCUGGGAUAAUCCUGGCCACUAGCGUGCGGAGCCGUGCUCCUGUGCUGGGGAAUUUUCUGGUUGCUUUCGGGGAUUACUGAGACGCUGGGGGCUGCAGGGAAGAGCUGCAGAGGGAGAAAUGGCGUAAACUUGCAGAGCAGCACCGGGGGCCUCUCCCACCCGAGUUUUGCGCCGGGACUCAGCAGGGGCGCAGCAGGAUGGAUGAAGACCCGCACAGACGAAGCGUGUGCAGCCUUGGGCUGCUCUCGCGUUCGCUCCCCGCCCUCAGAAAGCAGCAGGCAGGGUUUUACGGCUCAGGAGAGCUCCUGAGCAGUUUAUUAGCCGGGAUGAUUGCUUUUCUGUUCAGAUGGCUCCUGUUCCCUGCACAUUAUUUAUCACGAGAGUGCGAAAUCUCCCUGCAGCUGGGCGGAGGGGUGCGGGCA
rnacentral:lncRNA from 1 species